UACGUAGGGAGCAAGCGUUGUCCGGAAUCAUUGGGCGUAAAGCGCGCGUAGGUGGCCUCAUAAGUCCGCUGUGAAAGUCAAAGGCUCAACCCUUGAAAGCCGGUGGAUACUGUGAGGCUAGAGUACGGAAGAGGCGAGUGGAAUUCCUGGUGUAGCGGUGGAAUGCGCAGAUAUCAGGAGGAACACCAAUAGCGAAGGCAGCUCGCUGGGACGUUACUGACACUGAGGCGCGAAAGCGUGGGGAGCGAACAGG
rnacentral:rRNA from 1 species